GUGCCGUUCUCAUCCUCCAGAGUUGAUGUCUCAAGCUUAUCCAUAACCCAAAGGUUCUCCUUCUCAAGAGAUGCAUCGUGCAAGAACGAGGUUGUUUCUUGACAACUGUCAAGAACAACAUAUUGAGGGCCAGAGAGAUAAGGUUUUGGCUCGAUUGGAGGUCAUGAUGG
rnacentral:misc_RNA from 1 species